UUACGGCCACAUCAUGUUGAAACACCGGUUCCCGUACGAUCGCCGAAGUUAAGCAACGUAGAAUCUAAUCUGUAAAUACAUGGGUGAUCACUUGGGAAUACGACGUGCUGUAAG